GAUUGUCAUCAUAGAGCAGACAUGGGAUGUCUGCAGCUAACUUCUCAAGAACGAGCAUCAUGAGGCCCCGGGAAAAUUCAAGCUGAAAGAAACAUGUAAGCAGGAGAGUAUCUCCAGCUCUAUAUCUAUUCCAGGGUGGACGUGCCCUAAGCGCCAGAGAAAGUGGAAGGCCACAGCAGCUUCCUGACAAAGAAGACCAAGAUUCAGGAAACAAGUUAUCCCUUGUAUUUUUCUUCCCAGAUCAACUUUUACUGGCAAAUUCACUGAAGGGUGCAGAUCUGGUUGUAAACGACUGGGAGCUGAAUGGCAGAAGAGGACUCAGCAUCAAAUAUGCACUUUACCCCGUGCAGAGGCCCCAAAAACGUGGCCUUUGACAAGAAGGAGGAACAUGAGGGAUCUGGAAGC